GACAGAGGUCCCGAGCGUUAGGCGGAAUCACUGGGCUUAAAGCGUGUGUAGGCGGACUUCUAAGUACCUUGUGAAAUCCCACGGCUUAACCGUGGAACUGCUGGGUAUACUGGUUGUCUUGGGCCACUUAGGGGCUACUGGAACAAACGGUGGAGCGGUGAAAUGCGUAGAUAUCGUUUGGAACGCCAAUGGUGAAAACAAGUAGCUGGGAGUGUGCCGACGCUGAGACACGAAAGCCAGGGGAGCGAACGGG
rnacentral:rRNA from 1 species